rnacentral:tRNA from 1 species
GGGAAGGUGGUCUAGAUUGGUAUGAUUCUUGGUUCGGAACCAAGAGGUCGGGGGUUCAAUAAAUUUUAAACUUCUUA